UCUCUCUCUCUCUCUCCCCUUAAAGCAUCAAAAACCAAACCCUUGAAAGGUUGUAUAAGCCUUUUGUCAAUUCAAUUCUAGAAUCCUUAUGAGGAAAAAAAGGGCAGUUUUCGCUGAAUAUAAGAUACCCAUAAUGUUUUUUUUAAAGUUUCCCUAAAAAUUUAGCAUAAAUGAGUAAAACCCAGAUUUUUUUUUCAGAAUUUCUGAAAUUUGCAAAGUAAUGCCUGAAAGAUUUUCAAGCAAAACCCACUUCAAAAGUUUAGCUGCUUGGCGUAAUGUAUUAAUUUGUGCCAUUGGCUUCAAGUUCCAACAGGAAUUUGUUCACAGAAAGAAAAUUUAGUGGAUCUAUAUUUUUAAAUAUAGAAAAGGAAAAAAUUGCUUUAACUUUCACUUUCUUGGGAUACCCAAGCAUGCGCAACAUUGGUCAGAAUCAUGUAGGAUCUUGUAUAAAAAUGAUGACAAUCAUGCAUCUUUCUUUCCUUUACCUCAAGAAGCAUGGUCUCCAUGGCCCGGAAGGAAGCAAUUUUAGCCCAUCUUGCGUUUCAAAUUUUCAUUUUAUAUAUUCUCAACUGUUCUGAA
rnacentral:misc_RNA from 1 species